GUCGAACGAGAUUAGAGAGCUUGCUCUCUAUGAAAGUGGCGCACGGGUGCGUAACGCGUAUGCAACCUACCUUAAUCAGGGGGAUAGCCCGAAGAAAUUCGGAUUAAGACCGCAUAAAAACACAGCACAGCAUUGUGCAAUGUUCAAAUAUUUAUAGGAUUAAGAUGGGCAUGCGUGUCAUUAGCUAGUUGGCGGGGUAACGGCCCACCAAGGCGACGAUGACUAGGGGAUCUGAGAGGAUGACCCCCCACACUGGUACUGAGACACGGACCAGACUCCUACGGGAGGCAGCAGUAAGGAAUAUUGGUCAAUGGAGGGAACUCUGAACCAGCCAUGCCGCGUGCAGGAAGACAGCCCUCUGGGUCGUAAACUGCUUUUAUUCGGGAAUAAACCUUAUUACGUGUAAUAAGCUGAAUGUACCGAAGGAAUAAGGAUCGGCUAACUCCGUGCCAGCAGCCGCGGUAAUAC
rnacentral:rRNA from 1 species